GUUUAAUUUAUUGUGGUUGUUUUUUAUUUGCUUAUUGAAAUAUCAUUUUGGUUGUUGUAAUUUUUAUGAUUUAAUUUUUUAUGCGAUAGUAUAUUUGUACCGUGAGGGCUCAUUGGGAUUUAUUUUUUGAAGUUGAUUUUAUUUGUUGUACCUUGUGUAUCAGGGUUCAUUGAGUUUUAUUAUUUAUUUUUAUUUCCCGAUUUCAAAUAAAGGAGUUAGUGGUUUAUAUUAGUUAUUGUUUUAUUAAUAUUAAUAAUAGGCUAUUGGUAGUGAAAUGUUAUUCGUCUUUGGUGGUUUCUGGUUUUCUAAGAAAUGAAUUUAAUUCAUACAUCUUAUUUAAUUUCUGUUGUUUGUCUAUUUAUUUUUAUUUGGUGUUAAAAUCAAGGGGGAUUAGCUCUUUGUUUUGGUUAUUAUAAUUUAUUUUAUUUAAUUUAGUUUUGUGGAUUUUAUAGUGAUUUUCUAUUUGAUUAUGUUAAAAUUUUAUUUGCUUUUUUAUUUAUUUUAUGUUAUUUAAUUUAUUUAUUAGAUUGUUUUCUUUAUUUUUGGUUUGGAUAGUAAUUAUUGUGUAAUUAGUAAAUCUCGUUUGUUGUUGUUGAUGGUUUAUGGGUGUUAAUUUCUUUUUAGGAAUUAGGCAAAGGGUAUUUCAUGUCCGCCUGUUUAACAAAAACAUCUCUUCUUGUAAGUUUUUGAGGUAUGGCCUGCCCACUGAUAUUUAGUUGAAGGGCCGCGGUAUUUUGACCGUGCAAAGGUAGCAUAAUCAUUAGUUCUUUAAUUGUGAUCUGGUAUGAAUGGCUUGACGAGAUAUGAGCUGUCUUUAUGGUAUUGUUUGUUGAAUUUGGAGUUUGGGUUAAAAUUCCUAGAUGUUUUUAUGGGACGAGAAGACCCUAUAGAGUUUGACAUCUAACUUAUUGCUUGUUUAUUGUUUGUUUAUUUUUGUAGUGGAUUAGGUGUUUUGUUGGGGUGAUGGGAGGAAUUUUUUUAACUCCUCUUUGUUGUUUAUAUAUUUGUAUAUAGUUUUUUGAUCCUUUAUUUUGAUUAUAAGAUUAAAUUACCUUAGGGAUAACAGCGUUAUCUUCCUUGAGAGUUCUUAUUGGCGGGGAGGUUUGCGACCUCGAUGUUGGAUUAAGAUGAAUUUUUGGUGUAGGAGCUGAAAGUGAUUAGGUCUGUUCGACCUUUAAAAUCUUACAUGAUCUGAGUUCAGACCGGCGUGAGCCAGGUUGGUUUCUAUCUAUAAUAUUAUUUAUAUCUUAGUACGAGAGGACCGGGUAUUUGGAAUAAUUUUGGUUGUAUAUUGAUUGUUAUUAAUGUGUUGCUAUUUUGGCAGAUAAGUGCAUUGGAUUUAGAAUCUAUUAAUGUAAAGUUUU
rnacentral:rRNA from 1 species